AACUAAUGAAGUUUCUGAACGUUUUUAGGAGGUUGUCUACUAAAAGUGGGAGUUUGUACGGGUGGGUGUUCCGGUUAUUAGUAGCAGGACUAGUAGGUGUAUCAUCUAAAUCUACCGGAGCUUAGGUUUCGUCAUCAUCAUCAACCUCAUUUCCCUCUAAGGUAGGUGCAUUAGGAUAAAGAAUAUUCAUAAUAUCAUCGUCUAUUCUAUCACCAACAGCUACAUUAUGUAGAAAAUCAACAUCGCUAAAUUGAAAACAUGGGUGAUCACUAUC
rnacentral:lncRNA from 1 species